GCGAGGUUAGCUCAGUGGUAGAGCACUUGCUUCACACGCAAGGGGUCGCAGGUUCGAAACCUGCACCUCGCACCA
rnacentral:tRNA from 1 species